GUCCCCAGCGCCGCGGAUGCUGUCGGGCAGCGGCGGCCGCGGUGCCCGGCUCGCGGGGCCAUGGCGGCUCCGGACAGCUGCGUGAAGGUGGCCGUGAGGAUCCGUCCCCAACUGUCCAAAGAGAAAAUAGAGGGAUGUCACAUCUGCACCUCAGUGACACCCGGAGAGCCCCAAGUGCUACUGGGGAAGGACAAGGCCUUCACCUAUGACUUUGUCUUUGACCUGGACACGUGGCAGGAGCAGAUCUAUACAACGUGUGUUGGCAAGCUCAUUGAAGGCUGCUUUGAGGGCUACAAUGCCACCGUGCUGGCGUAUGGACAGACUGGUGCUGGGAAGACAUACACCAUGGGCACUGGCUUUGACGUGAACAUCUCUGAGGAAGAGCAGGGCAUCAUCCCACGGGCCAUCAGCCACCUCUUCAGCGGCAUUGAGGAGCGCAAGCGCGCAGCGCAGAGUCAGGGCAGGGCGGCUCCGGAGUUCAAAGUCAGUGCCCAGUUCCUGGAGCUCUACAAUGAAGAGAUCCUGGACCUGUUUGACAGCGCCCGUGACCCUGAUGUACGCCAUCGCAAAUCAAACAUCAAAAUCCAUGAGGAUGCCAGUGGAAGCAUUUACACUACAGGGGUUACAUCACGCCUCAUCAACUCACAGGAUGAGUUGAUCCAGUGCCUAAAGCAGGGAGCUCUUUCCCGCACCACGGCCAGCACCCAGAUGAAUGUGCAGAGCUCCCGGUCCCACGCCAUCUUCACCAUUCACCUCUGCCAGAUGAGAGUGUGCGCCCGCCCGGAGCUGGUGAAUAGGGAGGUGACCAGCCUCCUGGAUGGAUCCCAGCCCACCACAGAGUAUGAGACCCUCACUGCCAAGUUUCACUUUGUGGACCUGGCUGGCUCAGAGAGGCUGAAGCGAACAGGUGCUACCGGUGAGAGGGCCAAGGAAGGCAUCUCCAUCAACUGUGGACUGCUGGCCCUGGGGAAUGUCAUUAGUGCCCUCGGAGACCAGAGCAAGAAGGUUGUGCACGUGCCCUACCGUGACUCCAAGCUCACCCGCCUGCUGCAGGAUUCCCUUGGGGGCAACAGCCAAACCAUCAUGAUCGCGUGUGUGAGCCCCUCUGACCGGGACUUCAUGGAGACCCUGAACACGCUCAAGUAUGCCAACCGGGCCCGCAACAUCAAGAACAAGGUGGUGGUGAACCAGGACAAGACAAGUCAGCAGAUCAGUGCCCUGAGGGCCGAGAUCGCCCGCCUGCAGAUGGAGCUGAUGGAGUACAAGGCAGGUAAGCGGGUCAUUGGGGAGGAUGGCUCAGAAGGCUACAGCGACCUGUUCCGUGAGAACGCCAUGCUGCAGAAGGAGAACAGCACCCUGCGCAUGCGGGUGAAGGCCAUGCAAGAGGCCAUUGAUGCCAUCAACAGCAGGGUCACCCACCUCAUGAGCCAGGAGGCCAAUCUCAUGCUGGCUAGGGCAGGAGAUGGUAAUGAAGCUAUUGGCACCCUCAUCCAGAACUACAUCCGGGAGAUUGAAGAGCUGAGGACAAAGCUCCUGGAGAGUGAGUCCAUGAAUGAGUCCCUGCGUCGCAGCCUCUCACGCGUCUCUGCUCGGGCUCCUUAUUCCAUGGGCGCGUCCCCAGGCUCCAGCCUGACUGGGCUGUGUAGCCCUGCUGCACCGGUGGACACGGAGGCCUCCGAUGUCCUUCGGCGGGCCAAGCAGGACCUGGAGCGCCUCAAGAAGAAAGAAAGGAGGCAGCGGAGGAAGAGCCCAGAGAAGGAAGCAUUUAAGAAGAGGCAGAAACUGCAGCAGGACAAUGAGGAGGAGACUGAUGAGAACGAGGUGGAAGAGGAGGAAGAGGAGCAGGAUGAGAGUGGCUGUGAGGAGGAGGAUGGACGUGAGGAUGAAGACGAGGAUUCGGGCAGUGAAGAGAGCCUGGUGGACUCGGACUCAGAUGCAGAGGAGAAGGCCGUGAACUUCCAGGCUGACCUGGCAGAUCUGACUUGUGAGAUAGAGAUCAAGCAGAAGCUGAUCGAUGAGCUAGAGAACAGCCAGCGGCGCCUGCAGACCCUCAAGCACCAGUACGAGGAGAAGCUGAUCCUGCUGCAGAACAAGAUUCGGGACACGCAGCUGGAGCGGGACCGGGUCCUGCAGAACCUCAGUACUAUGGAGUGCUACACAGAGGAGAAAGCCAACAAGAUCAAAGCAGACUAUGAGAAGCGGCUGAAGGAGAUGAACCGGGACCUGCAGAAGCUCCAGGCAGCCCAGAAGGAGCAUGCUCGCCUGCUCAAGAACCAGUCCCGCUACGAGCGGGAGCUGAGGAAGCUGCAGGCAGAGGUGACCGAGAUGAAGAAGGCAAAGGUGGCACUGAUGAAGCAGAUGCGGGAGGAGCAGCAGCGCAGACGUCUGGCAGAGACAAAGAGGAAUCGGGAGAUAGCACAGCUCAAGAAGGAGCAGCGGCGGCAGGAGUUUCAGAUCCGGGCUCUGGAGUCUCAGAAGCGGCAGCAGGAAAUAGUGCUGCGGAGGAAAACUCAGGAGGUCUCCGCGCUGCGCCGCCUCGCCAAGCCCAUGUCUGAUCGGGUGGCAGGCAGGACGAGCCAGAAGCCAGCCAUGCUGGACUCAGGCGCUGAGGUCUCGGCUAGCACCACAUCCUCUGAGCCUGAGUCUGGCGCUCGCUCCGUCUCCAGCAUUGUGCGCCAGUGGAACAGGAAGAUCAACAACUUCCUGGGAGACCCCUCAUCCCCUGUGAACGGGGCUCGGCCCCCCAGGAAGAAGUUCCCCAAGAAGGGGACGAGUCAGACCUUCAGCAAAGCCGCCCGCCUCAAGUGGCAGUCGCUGGAGCGGCGAAUCUUUGACAUCGUCAUGCAGAGAAUGACCAUCGUUAACCUGGAGGCUGACAUGGAGCGGCUCAUCAAGAAACGCGAGGAGCUGACCCUGCUGCAGGAAGCGUUGCUAGGCAAGAGGUCAAAACUGCAGGCAGAGAAUCCCAAGGGGCUGCAGGAGCUGAACGAGGAGAUCGAGGUGCUGGGGGCCAACAUUGACUACAUAAACGACAGCAUUUCUGACUGCCAGGCCACCAUCAUGCAGAUCGAGGAGACAAAGGAGGAGCUGGACUCCACAGACACCUCGGUGGUGAUCAGCUCCUGCUCCCUUGCCGAAGCCCGGCUCCUGCUGGACAACUUCCUGAAGGCCUCCAUCGACAAGGGGCUGCAGGUAGCACAGAAGGAGGCCCAGAUCCGCCUGCUGGAGGGGCGGCUGCGGCAGACAGACAUGGCCGGCUCCUCGCAGAACCACGCCAUCCUGGAUGCGCUGCGGGAGAAGGCCGAGUCGCACCCCGAGCUGCAGGCCCUGAUCCACAACGUCCAGCAAGAGAACGGCUACACCAGCACGGAUGAGGAGGUCUCAGAGUUCAGCCUGGCUUCAGAUGGGAGCGUCUCCCAGUCUUUCACCAUGAAGGGUUCAGCAAGCCAGGAUGACUUCAAGUUCAAGGGAGAGCCCAAGCUCUCGGGGCAGAUGAAGGCAGUGUCAGCUGAGUGUCUAGGACCCACGCUGGAUGUCUCCACCAAGAACAUCACCAAGUCCCUGGCAUCCCUCAUGGAGAUCAAAGAGGAUGGGAUCAGCUUCUCUGUCAGAGACCCCUAUUACAAGGAGAAAGUGUCACGCACCAUCAGCCUGCCCACACGAGGAAGCACCUUUCCCAGGCAGUCUCGUGGCUCGGACACUUCACCUCUGACCAGGAGGAAAUCCUACGACCGUGGCCAGCCUGCCAGGCCUCCAGACGUUGGCUUCACGCCUCCCUCAUCCCCACCUACCCGUCCACGCAAUGACCGCAAUGUCUUCUCUCGUCUCACGAGCAACCAGAGCCAAGGGUCUGCCCUGGACAAGUCUGAUGACAGCGAUUCCUCUGUCUCGGAGGUGCUGAGGGGUGUCAUUAACCCAGUGGGUGGCACCAAGAAUGCCCGGACAGCCCCGCUGCAAUGCGUCUCCAUGGCAGAAGGACACACAAAACCUGUGCUCUGCCUGGAUGCCACUGAUGAGCUGCUAUUCACUGGGUCCAAAGACCGAAGCUGCAAAAUGUGGAACCUGGUAACAGGCCAAGAAAUUGCUUCCCUCAAGGGUCACCCAAACAAUGUGGUUUCCAUCAAGUACUGCAGCCACACGGGGCUGGUGUUCACUGUGUCUACAUCAUACAUCAAAGUGUGGGACAUCCGGGACUCAGCCCGCUGCAUCCGCACCCUCACAUCUUCUGGACAGGUGAUCUCUGGGGAUGCCUGUGCUGGGACCAGCACCCGCAUGGUCACCAGUGUGCAGGGGGAGCACCAGAUCAACCAGAUUGCUCUGAACCCCAGUGGCACCAUGCUCUAUGCUGCCACUGGGAACUCCGUCCGCAUCUGGGAGCUGAGCAGGUUGCAGCCCAUCGGGAAGCUGAGUGGCCACAUCGGGCCUGUGAUGUGUCUCACAGUAAACCAGACGGCGAGCAACCACGACCUGGUGGUCACAGGCUCCAAAGAUCACUAUAUCAAGGUAUUUGAGAUUGCUGAGGGCAUGGUGGGCAAUAUUGGCCCCACUCACAACUUUGAGCCCCCUCACUACGAUGGCAUCGAGUGCCUGGCCAUCCAGGGAGACAUCCUCUUCAGCGGCUCCAGGGACAAUGGCAUAAAGAAGUGGGAUCUGGAGCAGCAGGAACUUAUCCAGCAAAUCCCCAAUGCCCACAAAGACUGGGUGUGUGCCCUGGCUUUCAUUCCCGGGCGCCCCAUGGUGCUGAGCGCUUGCCGAGGAGGCAUGAUCAAAGUGUGGAAUGUGGACACCUUCACCCCCAUUGGGGAGAUCAAGGGACACGACAGCCCCAUCAACGCCAUCUGCACCAACUCAAAGCACAUCUUCACUGCCUCCAGUGACUGCCGGGUAAAGUUAUGGAAUUACGUGCCUGGGCUCACCCCUUGCCUUCCACGACGCGUCCUUGCCAUAAAGGGCCGUGCUACUAGUCUGCCUUGACCCUUCUGCUCUUUCUCUCUUGCUCAUGCAGUCUUCUCCUGUCUUUUCUUCCCUUUUCUCUUUCUCUCCAUCUUUUUCUCCCUCUGUCUUUCUGUCGCUUGCUUUCACUCCUCUCUCCCUUCCCCUCUCUCUUUUUCUUCCCUUCUCUCUGAUCUGAGCUGCUUCUUCACGUGACUUGACAGUGAAGCUCUGGAGCGGGAGGAGGUUACCCACAGGGUCCAACUAGAAGCUGCAAAGACUGGAGGACAUAACAGGAGGGUGAAGGUCAAGGUACCUCUCCCUCACGAUCAAGACCUGGUCAUCUCUGGGAGCUCAGUCCAGGGAUAGGGAUUUGUUUGUGCAUGAUCCGGUGGGGCGGACGAUGCCCCGUCUGGUACUUUGACCACUACUAGCUCCUGUGAGAAGGCAGCUCCGCAGGGCAUCAUCAGCUCCACCUUCCCUCCCGUUGAGGUUUCUUCAUGGUUUUCCAGUGACCAUGAAGUAUUUCAGCUCUUUUCUCACCCACUCUGCUGUAAUGCCUGAUGGAAAUUGCAGGCAUCAGAGCUCCUUGGCUUCUUCUGAGACACCCCCUUGCCUCCAUGGGCUUAUGUGGCUUCCACCAUGAUGUGCUGCUUCUGUCCCUGUUGGCCAUGGGGCUGGUUCCUGCAGGAGUCUUUCUGCACUCCACAGCCACAAGGACAUUUGGUGUCUGCUGGACAGGACCACAGCAUAGAGGGGCUGUCUUUGGAGCCAUUACUUGUGGGACAGCCUCUCUGCUGUGGGCAGUCUGGAGAAGGAUUUCCAGGUAAUCCCAUCAUUCCACAUUCUCCAUCUACCUGUUCCCAGCAGUUGGAGGUGGGCACCUCUGAAUUCCUUUGCCGUGUCCCAGCUGUGGAUGUACAGCAAGCCUGGGAACAUCUCCAUCAGUCAACUUACAAACCUGCUGCAGUUCCCUUUGACGUUCUCUAAACUCCAGUCAUAAUUCCAGUCAUAAACUCAGCUGACCCAUGGCUCAUGGGCUCUUGCCCUAGUGCUCUGCAGUGGGGAAAGGCUGCUUAACCCUGCUCUUGACAACCUGGCCCUCAGCAGGGCUUCUGUGGUAGGUUCCUGCAGCAUGCUGACCCCCUUGAGAUAGAGAAACAAAGCAAGAACAGAGGUUACAGGGCAAAGAAGCCAAGGCUGGAUUCAUCACCAUCAUCCCUGUGAUUCAUCUUAUUCUGGAAGCUGUAAAUCCUUCCUCCAGGCUCUGCUCUUAGUCCUCUGCCUGGGAAGGACUAGCUCAGGUUUGGCCCAUUGGCCCCAUGGAUCUGGAAGCCAGAGAAGGCCAAGCCAAGGCAUGGAGCAGCCGGAGGAUGGGCCAGGUUGGCCUCAGCUGUGCCAGAAGCAGGGUGAGGAAGGGGCAGCACACACUCAUCUCACACAAGUCCCCUGAUUCACCCCUUGCUUGAAGGACAAUCCUGCAGUGGAUGAUCUUGCACAGUCCAAUCUCCAUGAAAAGCUGGGGACUCUGUUCAGGACUCUUUCCCCAGGGAUGUAGCUUCUGCAGGCUCCCUCCUCCUCUGGCUCCAGGGCAUGCAAGGCCUUGGUCUCACACUGGAGUUUUUCUCCAUCAGUCCUGUUGUAUCGUCUCCUGCUCUGUCCAGCCCUGGGCCAAGCAGGGCUUCUCCUGCCAUGGGCAAGGAGAACCUGGUGUUCUCUGUCACAGAAGAAGCAGCAUUUGAACUCAAAUUUAAGGAUUUCUUCAUGAGACCCCACCAGCAAUGAACUGGGAUCUCAGAGGCCACAGGAGGUUCAGGACCUGCCCCACAGACCAUUUUCCCUCUGCUUUUUCCAACCAUGGUGACUCUUGGACCACCCCCAGCUCGUUUUGGGGGAAAACCCCAUCCUACUGGCUUGCCUUUGUGGCGGGUGUGAUGCGUGUGUGUGUGUUGUGUAUGACCAUGCCCAGUUCAAUGAGCAGUCCCUGGUGAUCAUGUCUGAGCCCUGCAUUGAGGUGAGGAGCCCUCCUGCCAUGGCUGAUGGAGAAGUGAGUGUAAGGCACAGACAUGGGGGCUUCAGGAGGUGUCACCCUCCUUGGAAAGGGUUUUCCUGCUCAUUCCUGAGCUGGCGGAAGUUUUGCUUGGCUGGAAUGGGUGGUGUGGAUGUGUGUAUUUGGGCAGAGAUGUGUGUUUGAGUGUCUGUAAUUGGGUGUACCAUAUGCAUCAAUGUCUGCAUCAAUGUCUGCACCAAGAUCUGCCAGUGCCUGAUGUGGAACCUCUCACUGCUCCCUGCUGAAGUCGAUGAAGGAACCUGCUCUUGGGGGACUCUUGGAGUCAGACCUUUCCUUUCACAACCAGUGUCUUCUUGUGUGUAGGCUGCAAGUGCCUGCUUUAUUUCCCAAGGCUGAGUGCUCAAUCCUGCCUGAUGCUGAGCAUCCACCUCGCUGCUGCAUCCAGGAGCACGUUGAGGGGGCCUCAAGGCUUUUGCAGCCUGCAGGUGCUGCAGCACAGCAGCAAGUGACUGGAUAGGGGGUCUCUGAGGAGAGGGAUAACUGUGAUCCUAUAGCUGUGUGUGUGUGUGUUUUAGUAUCUGUGUGGGCUGGUAUUUCUCAUGCACAAGAGCAUUUCUCGGGUGUUGAUCUGGUUUAGCUACCUCACGGUGCAAGCUGGGUGCUGUUGUCACUGGGUUUGUGUUGGGAAUGGGGUGGGGAGUGUGGGUG